rnacentral:tRNA from 1 species
GGGGAUGUGGCUCAAGUGGUAGCGCGCCCGUCUAGCAUGCGCGAGGCCUGGGUUCGAUCCCCAGCACCA